rnacentral:rRNA from 1 species
UCCGGUUGAUCCUGGCGGAGGACAUUGCUAUUGGGAUUCGAUUUAGCCAUGCUAGUCGAGCGAGUUCAGACUCGCGGCGCAUAGCUCAGUAACACGUGGCCAAGCUCCCCUCCAGUCAGCGAUACCCUCGGGAAACUGAGGCUAACAGCUGAUACAACACGCCAGCUGGAAUGCGGCGUUUUCGAAAGACAUCGCUGAAGGAUGCGGCUGCGGCCGAUUAGGUAGACGGUGGGGUAACGGCCCACCGUGCCAGUAAUCGGUACGGGUGAUGAGAGUCAGAGCCCGGAGACGGAAUCUGAGACAAGAUUCCGGGCCCUACGGGGCGCAGCAGGCGCGAAACCUUUACACUGCACGGAAGUGCGAUAGGGGAAUCCCAAGUGCGAGGGCAUAUUAGCCCUCGCUUUUCUCGACUCUAAGGUGGUCGACGAAUAAGAGCUGGGCAAGACCGGUGCCAGCCGCCGCGGUAAUACCGGCAGCUCAAGUGAUGUCCCAUAUUAUUGGGCCUAAAGCGUCCGUAGCUGGCCGACCAAGUCUAUCGGGAAAUCCACCUGCCCAACAGGUGGGCGUCCGGUAGAAACUGGCCGGCUUGGAACCGGAAGGCUCAGAGAGUACGUCCGGGGUAGGAGUGAAAUCCCGUAAUCCCGGACGGACUACCGAUGGCGAAAGCACUCUGAGAAGACGGAUUCGACAGUGAGGGACGAAAGCUCGGGUCUCAAACCGGAUUAGAUACCCGGGUAGUCCGAGCCGUAAACGAUGCUCGUUAGGUGUGGCACCCACUACGAGUGGGUGCUGCGCCGUAGGGAAGCCGCUAAACGAGCCGCCUGGGAAGUACGUCCGCAAGGAUGAAACUUAAAGGAAUUGGCGGGGGAGCACUACAACC